UGCGCCAAGGAAAACCGAACGAAGCGUCCGCCCCUGGCAUCCCGUUCGCGGAGCGUGCCGCGGGAUCGGGCGUCUAUCAAAUGUCAAAACGACUCUCGGCAACGGAUAUCUCGGCUCUCGCAUCGAUGAAGAACGUAGCGAAAUGCGAUACUUGGUGUGAAUUGCAGAAUCCCGUGAACCAUCGAGUCUUUGAACGCAAGUUGCGCCCGAAGCCAUUAGGCCGAGGGCACGUCUGCCUGGGCGUCACGC
rnacentral:rRNA from 1 species